GCCCAGACUCCUACGGGAGGCAGCAGUGGGGAAUAUUGCACAAUGGGGGGAACCCUGAUGCAGCGACGCCGCGUGGGUGAAGGAGCACCUCGGUGCGUAAAGCCCUAUCGGCAGGGAAGAAACAGACGGGACCUGACUAAGAAGCCCCGGCUAACUACGUGCCAGCAGCCGCGGGAAUACGUAGGGGGCAAGCGUUAUCCGGAUUCACUGGGUGUAAAGGGAGCGUAGACGGCGACGCAAGUCUGGAGUGAAAGCCCGGGGCCCAACCCCGGGACUGCUCUGGAAACUGCGUCGCUGGAGUACGGGAGGGGCAGGCGGAAUUCCUGGUGUAGCGGUGAAAUGCGUAGAUAUCAGGAAGAACACCAGUGGCGAAGGCGGAUUACUGGACGAUAACUGACGGUGAGGCGCGACAGCGUGGGGAGCCAACAGGAUUAGAUCCCCGCGUA
rnacentral:rRNA from 1 species